rnacentral:misc_RNA from 1 species
CCGAGUUUCCGAACUCCCAACCCACUGUGAACAUACCCUACGUUGCUUCGGCGGGCCCCCGCGCCCGCCGAGGGACACGCAAACUCUUUUUUGAACCUGGAACUCUGAUUGUACAUUAAAAAAAAUGAAUCA